rnacentral:rRNA from 1 species
UACGUAGGUGGCAAGCGUUAUCCGGAAUUAUUGGGCGUAAAGCGCGCGCAGGUGGUUUCUUAAGUCUGAUGUGAAAGCCCACGGCUCAACCGUGGAGGGUCAUUGGAAACUGGGAGACUUGAGUGCAGAAGAGGAAAGUGGAAUUCCAUGUGUAGCGGUGAAAUGCGUAGAGAUAUGGAGGAACACCAGUGGCGAAAGCGGCUCUCUGGCCUGUAACUGACACUGAGGCUCGAAAGCGUGGGGAGCAAACAGG